AAUUUUGGAUAAUGGGGGAAACCCUGAUCCAGCCAUCUCGCGUGUAUGAUGAAGGCCUUCGGGUUGUAAAGUACUUUUGGCAGGGAAGAAAAGGUAUCCCCUAAUACGGGAUACUGCUGACGGUACCUGCACAAUAAGCACCGGCUAACUAUGUGCCAGACGCCACGGUAAUACGUAGGGUGCAAGCGUUAAUCGGAAUUACUGGGCGUAAAGCGUGUGUAGGCGGUUCGGAAAGAAAGAUGUGAAAUCACAGGGCUCAACCUUGGAACUGCAUUUUUAACUGCCGAGCUAGAGUAUGUCAGAGAGAGGUAGAAGUCAACGUGUAGCAGUGAAAUGCGUAGAUAUGUGGAGGAAUACCGAUGGCGAAGGCAGCCCCCUGGGAUAAUACUGACGCUCAGACACGAGAGCGUGGGGAGCAAACAGG
rnacentral:rRNA from 1 species